rnacentral:rRNA from 1 species
AUUGAACGCUGGCGGCAUGCUUUACACAUGCAAGUCGGACGAGUGGCGGACGGGUGAGUAACGCAUCGGAACGUACCCGGUAAUGGGGGAUAACUGAUGGCAAGGACAGCUAAUACCGCAUACUAUUGGAUCGACCGAUGUCUGAUUAGCUAGUGGGUGGGGUAAAGGCCCACCAAGGCGACGAUCAAUAGCGGGUCUGAGAGGAUGAUCCGCCACACUGGGACUGAGAAACGGCCCAGACUCCUACGGGAGGCAGCAGUGGGUAAUUUUGGACAAUGGGCGCAAGCCUGAUCCAGCCAUGCCGCGUGUCGGAAGAAGGCCUUCGGGUUGUAAAGGACUUUUGUCAGGGAAGCGGUACCUGAAGAAUAAGCACCGGCUAACUACGUGCCAGCAGCCGCGGUAAUAC